rnacentral:rRNA from 1 species
UACGUAGGGUGCAAGCGUUGUCCGGAAUUAUUGGGCGUAAAGAGCUCGUAGGCGGUCUGUCGCGUCUGCUGUGAAAACUCAGGGCUUAACCCUGAGCUUGCAGUGGGUACGGGCAGACUAGAGUGCGGUAGGGGAGACUGGAAUUCCUGGUGUAGCGGUGGAAUGCGCAGAUAUCAGGAAGAACACCCGUGGCGAAGGCGGCUCUCUGGGACGGUACUGACGCUGAGACGCGAAAGCGUGGGGAGCGAACAGG